UACAGAGGUCUCAAGCGUUGUUCGGAUUCAUUGGGCGUAAAGGGUGCGUAGGCGGCGCGGUAAGUCGGGUGUGAAAUCUCGGGGCUUAACUCCGAAACUGCAUUCGAUACUGCCGUGCUUGAGGACUGGAGAGGAGACUGGAAUUUACGGUGUAGCGGUGAAAUGCGUAGAUAUCGGGAAGAACACCUAUGGCGAAGGCAGCUCUCUGGGACGGUACUGACGCUGAGACGCGAAAGCGUGGGGAGCGAACAGG
rnacentral:rRNA from 1 species